GUCGGUGACCAAAGGCAUUAGGAAACACCUGUUCCCAUCCCGAACACAGCAGUUAAGCUGAUGCCGCCGAUGAUACUGCAUUGCGGGAAAGUAGGUCAUCGCCGACU
rnacentral:rRNA from 1 species